UCCCCUCCCAGGGACGCUGACUCCCCCGCCCAGCCGCGCCGCCCCCCGACUGCUAGGGAGCUGGUGUUCCCCGUGGGCCCCUCCCUGACGCCCACCGGCCUCCCUCCUCUUCCGGGCCUUGCUGGUCACGCCCUGUAACCCUGCAGCACCCUGACUUUACAGGCGUUUUCCCCUUUUCUCCUGAUCUGACGCUUCUAAAGCCGCAAGUACUCAGCUCGGGUUGGCAGAUGGGCUUUCAGGGCCGCCUGCCUGCAUUCCCAUACUUGCUUGUAGGGAUUAAAGACACAGGUGUGCUAACCUAGAAAACCCGGGAAGAUGCUCAGGACGCAUCCACGGAACCGUCCUUAGGCUGCGCAGCUCGUGUGUCGUCUUACAGUCGGGGAUACGCAGUGACAGGCCAGGAGGGGCCGUGGGACAGGCUCAGGUGUCGGAUUUGAAGCCGCUCUUGGCGGAUAAUAAAGUUGCUCUCCUGAGAGGAAGAAGAGAAUACUGAGGGGAUGAAGCUAGAAACUCAAAGAAAUAGAAAGGGAAGCAGCCAAACAGGAAACCCGGGAAGAUGUGGGAAACACCAGGUCUGGGUCUGUUACCCGCGCUCAGUGUUUCAUCCCGAAAGCCACAGUCUUCCUGGUGGCCUUUUUGGUGUUUUCACAGAAGUUCUAACCACUGAUGGUGACGGGAACAUGCUCAUGGGGAAUGGAUGCCCGGUCAUCUUGGGGCUUGCAGCGGUGCUUGAAAGUACAUCCUCCAUCUCAAAAGAGAAUCCGGGCCAGGAUAAUCUUGUUAUCAGGUGAUAGCCUGAAAAGCUCCUUUUGUCCAGGGAGACAAAGAGGAAGCCUGAUGGCGAGCCUGAGGUGGAGUCUCCUUUGAACCGUCUGGUGCUGUGAGCUGUGAGCGAGGCCGGCGCAGGGCUCGCCUCGCGCUGACUGGGAUGUGCGCUUUAGAAUCCGGUAGCUUGACUUACGUCGCUCUGAGUGUAUUUCAUGUGUUUCAUAUUCAUUUUGAAUGAGGCGCCUGGCCUUGAACUAGGGGACUUGUUUAAUUUGAUGUGUUCUCAGAGCUAUGUCAAGUUGAGUUUACUAGUUUUCUAUAGUCUCCGAGGAGAGGCCGGGGAGGUGGGCUGAGGCCUCCCGCAGGCACCCUGCGUGUCCCCGCUGGGAGGUGUGUGCUCACCUCCGCGUGGGCAUGUGUGCAUCAAGGCUCACACCCUCCAGGUUGCUGAUUUGUGCAGGUGGCAGAAAUGCGGUUGUAAGGAGGACAUGAUCCAAACGGUGAACACUGCUGACAUUUUACGGAGCCGCUUGGUCCGCCGGAUGGAAACACGUGUGCCGUGGAUUCGGCUCCUGGGCCAACUGUGUUCAGCCUCAUGCUGGGGCGGAGGCUCGGUUUCCCUCUGUGCCUGAUGUUCCGUUCCAGCUCUCUUUUUCUCUCAUGGAAAAUGUCAGAAAGUUCCAGAAGCCUUUAUUUUGUGUUUCUUUUAAUUGUGAUAAAACGGGAUCCCUGGGUGGCUCAGUGGUUGAGCGUCUGCCUUCAGCUCAGGGCAUGACCCCAGGUUCCUGGGAUCGAGUCCCGCAUCAGGCUCCCUG